GAGGAAUGUAUAGCAAUAGCUAGUUGCAUCAUUGUUACAAUGAUGCAACAUCGACUAUGUCGAAUAAAAUUCUAGGUAGAAUUAUGAUAAUGACAUUGUCUGCCUAUGUGUCUUGACCAAAUUACGUGCCAGCAGUCGCGGUAAUACGUAGAAGACUAGUGUUAUUCAUGUUUAAUCGGUUUAAAGGGUACCUAGACGGUAAAUCAAGCUUUAUAAGAAAUAUAGUUAAAGGACUAAUUUACUAGAGUUACUUACGAGGGGGCAUUAAAGUACUACUGGUGUAGAGAUGAAAUUCUGUCAUACCUCUUUUCAAAAGAAAAAAUGAAGGCACAGGUAUAGGCGAAGGCAUCUCCUUAUGUGAUAACUGACGUUGAGGGACGAAGGCUUUGUAUAGCGAACAGGAUUAGUUACCCCAGUAGUCGAAGCAGAAAAUGAUGAAUGUCAUAGAUUAGAGGUAAGUUUAUUCUAUAAAUGAAAGUGUAAGCAUUCCACCUCAUGAGUAAUUUGGCAACAUUGGAACUGAAAUCAUUAGACCGUUUCUGAAACCAG
rnacentral:rRNA from 1 species